AUUUAUCACCAGUUACCCAAGGACACUGACAACAACAUCACGGACAGGAAGAGAGCACCUCACAAGGUCAUGUUAUACUGACCAUGUGCUGACCACAUUGGCAGACAACCAUGUCUUAGAGAAGGAGCAGGUGGAGGCAAUCAGAGAACAAGGGAGGUAUAUAAGCGACUCGCCACACGCCAGCUGAAUCUUUCCCCAGCAUCUGAUAACUGAUCGCUCAAUACGAGAUUUCGUGGACAACUUCUUCAAACUUUUCAAGUUUUCUUCUCUUUCAGAAAAGAUGUCGGCACUGAAGGUUUUGAUUGUGGUGUUCUUGGCUUUCUCGUUCCUUGCGGUAACUAUGGCACAGUCAGACAACCUCGCUGCCUGGUAUUUUUUGAUGCAAGGCAACCGGGCCCGAGGGUCACUCGGACAAGGUAGACGUGCAUUUCCGACUCUGAUGCAAUUGUUAAUGCUGGAUAACAUGGAUUAUCUUUCGUGAAAUCAUGGACAAGAUUUUAAUCCACUUGUGACAAUGAUUUCGGCGAGGCUUAUAAACUUUCCAAGACAAAGGCACAAACAUGUAGUUCAUUUUCAUCAACUUUCUCAUUCAUCAGUCUUGUACAUUUAAGUCGACCACUAUCCUAUCGAUUUCAUCCUAGACUGGUGAUACCAGUACGACUUCUUUAACACGAAAACGAUAUCGAGAUAUCCAUGGAUCUGUAAAAAUAAAAGUCAAUUUGAUUGUCUUAACUGGACAAUAUGAGAGCGUUCUAUGUGUUUUAUCAAUCCAUAUUAUAAAACAAUAUUUCUCGAUCUUUUUAAGAAAUUUGAUAAAACAUGGAAAAGUUUACUGAAUCAGUAGAUACAUCAAUAUAUAGCUUUGGUAUAGACUCGAUACUAUCUUGCUGUAGUAUUUAUAUCAUUUCCCUAGUUUAAUCAUAAUUCGUCCCUCGGCAUUCCUCAAUCAUACACCAAGCAGGUUGGGUAGUACUUCCUUGUUAUUCUACAGAACGCCUCUUCGGACGAAAUUCACCGAACACAUCGGCGUUGUGGAUUAUUUGGCUCUGUGAUGUACGACAUCAGUAAGAAAUUUACUGAAAUAAGGUUGACCUACCAAUAAAAUUUAGCAAUGCUCACAUGUAAGUGUUCUCGCCAAAGGAUAUACAUUUCGGUAACGACUGUAAAAUAGUGCUAAUAUGAUUUUAAAUUGUUAUCAAUUUAAAUUCAAAGA